rnacentral:rRNA from 1 species
CCUACGGGAGGCAGCAGUGGGGAAUAUUGCACAAUGGGGGAAACCCUGAUGCAGCGACGCCGCGUGAGUGAAGAAGUAAUUCGUUAUGUAAAGCUCUAUCAGCAGGGAAGAAAAUGACGGUACCUGAGUAAGAAGCCCCGGCUAUCUACGUGCCAGCAGCCGCGGUAAUACGUAGGGGGCACGCGUUAUCCGGAUUUACUGGGUGUAAAGGGAGCGUAGACGGUAGUGCAAGUCUGGAGUGAAUGGCUGGGGCUCAACCCCCGGACUGCUCUGGAAACUGUACGGCUGGAGUGCAGGAGAGGUAAGUGGAAUUCCUAGUGUAGCGGUGAAAUGCGUAGAUAUUAGGAGGAACACCAGUGGCGAAGGCGGCUUACUGGACUGUAACUGACGUUGAGGCGCGAAAGCGUGGGGAGCAAACAGGAUUAGAUACCCGUGUAGUC